rnacentral:rRNA from 1 species
AGAGUUUGAUCCUGGCUCAGGAUGAACGCUAGCGGCAGGCCUAAUACAUGCAAGUCGGACGGGAUUUGGGAGCUUGCUUCCAAUGAGAGUGGCGCACGGGUGCGUAACACGUAUGUAACCUACCCAUAUCAGGGGGAUAGCCUCUCGAAAGAGAGAUUAAGCCCGCAUAAAAUCACACUAUGGCAUCAUAGAAUGAUCAAAUAUUUAUAGGAUAUGGAUGGGCAUGCGGAACAUUAGCUAGUUGGCGAGGUAACGGCUCACCAAGGCUACGAUGUUUAGGGGAUCUGAGAGGAUGACCCCCCACACUGGUACUGAGACACGGACCAGACUCCUACGGGAGGCAGCAGUAAGGAAUAUUCCUCAAUGGCCGAAAGGCUGAAGGAGCGACGCCGCGUGUAGGAUGAAGGUCUUCGGAUCGUAAACUACUUUUAUAUGGGAAGAAUUUGUGACGGUACCAUAUGAAUAAGAGGUUGCUAACUCUGUGCCAGCAGCAGCGGUAAUACAGAGACCUCAAGCAUUAUCCGGAUUUAUUGGGCGUAAAGCGUCCGCAGGUUGUCGAGUUUGUCAGAGGUUAAAACUCAACGCUUAACGUUGAGAUUGCCUUUGAAACGGCUCGACUAGAGGGUGGAAGAGGUAAGCGGAAUUCUCAGUGUAGUCGUAAUAAGCGUUGAUAUUGAGAAGAACACCAAAUGCGAAGGCAGCUUACUGGUACACACCUGACACUCAGGGACGAAAGCGUGGGGAGCAAAC